UUUAUUUAUUGUUAUUGGUUUAGAAUAGGCUUGGAGACAGCAAAUCCUCAUGGGGAGCGAACGGGAUUAGAUACCCUGGUAGUCCAUGCCAUAAACGAUGAGUGUUCACCCCUGGUCUACGUGGAUCAGGGGCCCAGAACACUCCGCAUGGGGAGUACGGUCACAAGACCGAAACUCAAAGGAAUUUACGGGGGCCUGCACAAGCGGUGGAGCAUGUGGUUUAAUUCGAUACAACGCGCAAAACCUUACCAGCCCUUGAAAUAUGAAAAAUAAAACCAGUCCUUAACGGGAUGGUACUUACUUUCAUACAGGUGCUGCAUGGUUGUCGUCAGCUCGUGUCGUGAGAUGUUUGGUCAAGUCCUAUAACGAGCGAAACCCUCGUUUUAUGUUGCUGAGACAUGCGCCUAAGGAUAAAGUCUUUACAACCGAAGUAAGCCGAGGAGCCGAGUGAUUAAGAAAGCCAGCGCUACUAAUAUAUUUAGUGUCAACAUGUAGCUGUGCUGUCAAUAAGAAGGGAGUCGACGCCUUUCGAAUUCGAAGCACUUUCUAGUGUGCGCUCUUUUUUUAUUGCAGCUUUUUUAGAGCAAGAAAACGGAUGCGCGUUAGCCCUUUAUUAGUAAUGGGGGCUUUCUUUUUUUCCAGCUCAAUCCCUUGCUUCUUGCUUUACUAAAUAGAAAGGGUUUUUCUCGCUUUUUUAGUAAAGUCCAGUUUUUGGCCUUAUCUUGCAGGUGACGACGACGUCGAGUUGGCGGCGGAGAAAGACUCGGCAUUCAGGCGAGCCGCCCGGUGGUGUGGUACGUAGUGGGUUUAGUACGCCCCGCCAAAACGGCUCCGAAAUAAACUAAAAGGUGCAUGCCGCACUCACGAGGGACUGCCAGUGAUAUACUGGAGGAAGGUGGGGAUGACGUCAAGUCCGCAUGGCCCUUAUGGGCUGGGCCACACACGUGCUACAAUGGCAAUUACAAUGGGAAGCAAGGCUGUAAGGCGGAGCGAAUCCAUAAAGAUUGCCUCAGUUCGGAUUGUUCUCUACAACUCGGGAACAUGAAGUUAGAAUCGCUAGUAAUCGUGGAUCAGCACUGUGAACACCCAAUUUUGUCCGGCCCAAACUAACUUUUCAAAAAAUAUAAAAUAAAUUUAAAAAUAAACAUAUUUCAAAAAAUAAAAAUUAACAAGUGCCAAAAAUGCUUAAUUAGUUGACUAAAUAAUAUUUACUUUUCAU
rfam:Lupinus angustifolius cultivar Tanjil chromosome LG08, whole genome shotgun sequence.